CCUACGGGGGGCUGCAGUGGGGAAUAUUGCACAAUGGGCGCAAGCCUGAUGCAGCCAUGCCGCGUGUGUGAAGAAGGCCUUCGGGUUGUAAAGCACUUUCAGCGGGGAGGAAGGCGGUGAGGUUAAUAACCUCAUCGAUUGACGUUACCCGCAGAAGAAGCACCGGCUAACUCCGUGCCAGCAGCCGCGGUAAUACGGAGGGUGCAAGCGUUAAUCGGAAUUACUGGGCGUAAAGCGCACGCAGGCGGUCUGUCAAGUCGGAUGUGAAAUCCCCGGGCUCAACCUGGGAACUGCAUUCGAAACUGGCAGGCUAGAGUCUUGUAGAGGGGGGUAGAAUUCCAGGUGUAGCGGUGAAAUGCGUAGAGAUCUGGAGGAAUACCGGUGGCGAAGGCGGCCCCCUGGGCAAAGACUGACGCUCAGGUGCGAAAGCGUGGGGAGCAAACAGGAUUAGAUACCCCGGUAGUC
rnacentral:rRNA from 1 species